GUGUUUGCUUUGGCAGCACAUAUACUAAAAUUAGAACAAUACAGAGAAGAUUAGCAUGUCCCCUGUACAAGGAUGACAUGCAAAUUCGUGAAGUGGUCCAUUAAAAAAAAUGUUU
rnacentral:snRNA from 1 species